rnacentral:misc_RNA from 1 species
UCCUCGUUUAAGCGAGGCAGUCUGUCCAGAGUGCUCCAAACUCUCGUUCGGAUCGCAACAGGACAUAAGGGUUGCGCUCGUUGCGGGACUUAACCCAACAUCUCACGACACGAGCUGACGACAGCCAUGCAGCACCUGUGCAUGCUGCCCUUGCGGGCUCGUCCCCCUUUCAGGGUUCUACUACAUGCAUGUCAAGGCCAGGUAAGGUUCUUCGCGUUGCAUCGAAUUAAGCCACAUACUCCACCGCUUGUGCAGGCCCCCGUCAAUUUCUUUGAGUUUUAAUCUUGCGACCGUACUUCCCAGGCGGCUUGCUUAUCGCGUUGGCUUCGCCACAAAAGGGGUCGAUUCCUUUUACAGCAAGCAAGCACCGUUUACAGCUAGGACUAC